rnacentral:lncRNA from 1 species
UUUUUUUUUUUUAAUUUUUACUUUUUCCUUUUUUUUUUUAAGCCACAUCUUUCAGGUACCUAUGCCUUUAAAACUUGUGAAUGUAACUUGCUAUUCUUUUUAACAGUAUUUCUUCAAGUUGCCAAUAACAAAGUCUAACUCAUUCACUCUGUGUUGUUACUACUUUGAAGAGAUUAAUGAACUUUAGCACUGAAAUACAAAAAUAGUUAAACCUACUUUGAGCUAAGCUGGUAAGCUCUUUGAGGCAUGAACACUAUUUGUAUCAUGUAUAGAAAGGCUGGUUUUGGCUUCACGCUCCUGUAAGACAGGCUGCCAGCAGUAUGCAAAAUGAGAGAAUCAGAACUAAACUUCCCAUUUGUGCAUCCAGGAGUCUGUGAUAGCAUUAUAAAAAUAUUCACUAUAGCAAAUGAUAAAUCUGUGCCUUUCAACAAAUAACCUUUCAUGUCUGCAUACUUCUCCACAGUGCAUUAUUGUUAAAGUGCCCCAAAGCAAGCUGGUUUAAAGGCCUUUAGUGGGUAGUGGUUGUUGUAGGUAUGCCUCUAUGGUGCAUAUUGGGCAAAUGAGUUCUUGCUUCCCUUGUACUUUGGCUAUGUUAAUGCGCCACUAAGCUGGUGCUGACAGAUUCCACUUGUUACUGUGUAUGUGGCACAGCAGGAGCACAGUCACGUGGCUUUUUACCAUUUCAGAGCGUGGGCAGAGAGAAAGGGGGUCAUCUUGGACUGCGACGUGUAGACAUGCUGGUGUGUCUCAAUGCAUUGCUUCUGCAUCAGAGGAGGUCUCCUGGAGGAAAACAUCCUAACAGCAGUUUUUGGUCUUGCUCCUGCUUAGUGCCACAAUUGACAAAGCAUGAAGCUGGUCAGCUGAGGAGGGAUUCCCCACUAAUACAAAAACAAAAUAAGGAGAAUUAAACUGAGAAUUAAAAAAUUGAUUUGCUGAUAUUGAGAUAGCUCUGGAGCAGUAUUCCUCCCUCUAAAGCAUGAGAUAAAUACGAAGUAUAUAAGGAGUGUCAUAGCAGAGCUAAGGACUUCUUUUCCUUGUAGAUUAGACAGCAUCAUCUCCAUCAAUAGAGUAUGUUUAGGACUUGUGUCUGGUUUUAGAAAGCUUCCAUUACAAUCUUCUGAGUUCGUACCUCUGGGAUUGCACAGAGACAGUGGUGACCUUGUCUAUUCUGUCACUUGCAACACAUGUCUUUCACAGCACACCAAGAAUGAGAUUUUUGGCAAGUUGAAUCAUAAUACAAAGCAAUAUCCAGCUACUCCAGAAGAGAUGGACUUUUUACACCUGCAUCUCUUCUUGAUGUUCUUAGUGAGCUAAAGCAGAAGAACAGUAACCCUGUAUUUUUCCUGAUUAGUUUCCUUAAGAAGAUGAGAGUUGAACAUACAAUGCAGUGUGCUUGAGCAUGUAGUACCUGGGACAAACAGGAUCAUUGCACUGAAAUGGCUGAAAAUACUCCAUAUCUUUUUUUCGUCGUUGUUGUUGUUGUUCACACAGUUCUCUGGUUGCAUC